AUUGAACGCUGGCGGCAGGCCUAACACAUGCAAGUCGAACGGUAACAGGAAGAAGCUUGCUUCUUUGCUGACGAGUGGCGGACGGGUGAGUAAUGUCUGGGAAACUGCCUGAUGGAGGGGGAUAACUACUGGAAACGGUAGCUAAUACCGCAUAAUGUCGCAAGACCAAAGAGGGGGACCUUCGGGCCUCUUGCUAUCGGAUGUGCCCAGAUGGGAUUAGCUAGUAGGUGGGGUAACGGCUCACCUAGGCGACGAUCCCUAGCUGGUCUGAGAGGAUGACCAGCCACACUGGAACUGAGACACGGUCCAGACUCCUACGGGAGGCAGCAGUGGGGAAUAUUGCACAAUGGGCGCAAGCCUGAUGCAGCUAUGCCGCGUGUAUGAAGAAGGCCUUCGGGUUGUAAAGUACUUUCAGCGGGGAGGAAGGGAGUAAAGUUAAUACCUUUGCUCAUUGACGUUACCCGCAGAAGAAGCACCGGCUAACUCCGUG
rnacentral:rRNA from 1 species